AUGAUUAGAGAAGUCUCAAUUACCUCAUGGAACGUCCGGGGAUUAGGUAGGCACAAGAAGUGCACCGACGUUAAAGCGGCUCUAACCUCAAACCCUAGCUCCGUAAUCUGCCUCCAAGAAUCGAAACUUCAAGAUAUCUCGCCUUUCAAGGCAAUCUCCUUCCUCCCCCCAAACCUUAGGAAUUUUCACUCAAUCCCAGCGACCGGAUCGGCCGGUGGAAUCGUCACGGCCUGGGACGACAACUUCAUCUCUUGUUCUAAAUUGCAUGCGGGCGUUUACGCUCUCACUUGCUGGUUCGAAGCUCGGGCAGACGACCUUUCUUUUGCGGUCACAAAUGUUUACGGCCCUUGCGAUCACGCAACCAAACCCAGUUUUCUUCAAUCGCUCGUCGACCUUAAACCUAUGAUCUCCUGCCCUUGGGUGAUCAUAGGGGACUUCAACAUUCCGCUCAGGCCAUCCGACAAGACCUCCCCACACUUCAACAUGCAAGAAGCGAACCUCUUCUCUUCAACCAUCCACUCCCUCCAGAUGCAAGACCUCCCUCUGCUCGACAGGCGUUUCACCUGGUCAAACCAACAGAACGCUCCCAUCCUGGUUCGCUUGGAUCGGGCGCUGGCAAACGUUGCAUGGGCAACUAAGUUUCCAGACACCUCGCUCUCAUCUGCCACUCGGACAACCUCCGAUCACGUCCACAUUCUCUUAACGGCGGCCACAUCCAUCCCC
rnacentral:rRNA from 1 species